rnacentral:rRNA from 1 species
GAUGAACGCUGGCAGCGUGCCUAAUACAUGCAAGUAGAACGCUGAAGCUUGGUGCUUGCACCGAGCGGAUGAGUUGCGAACGGGUGAGUAACGCGUAGGUAACCUGCCUCUUAGCGGGGGAUAACUAUUGGAAACGAUAGCUAAUACCGCAUAAAAGUCGAUAUCGCAUGAUAUUGAUUUGAAAGGUGCAAAUGCAUCACUAAGAGAUGGACCUGCGUUGUAUUAGCUAGUUGGUGAGGUAACGGCUCACCAAGGCGACGAUACAUAGCCGACCUGAGAGGGUGAUCGGCCACACUGGGACUGAGACACGGCCCAGACUCCUACGGGAGGCAGCAGUAGGGAAUCUUCGGCAAUGGGGGCAACCCUGACCGAGCAACGCCGCGUGAGUGAAGAAGGUUUUCGGAUCGUAAAGCUCUGUUGUAAGAGAAGAACGAGUGUGAGAGUGGAAAGUUCACACUGUGACGGUAACUUACCAGAAAGGGACGGCUAACUACGUG